rnacentral:misc_RNA from 1 species
AACGCACAUUGCGCCCGUUAGUAUUCUAGCGGGCAGGCUUGUUCGAGCGUCAUUUCAACCCUCAAGUUUUUUUUACUUGGUCUUGAGAUAUAGCUCCUUGAAAAAGGAGCUAUUUCUUUAAAAGAAAUGACGAAAGACUUGUUUCCAAUAUAGUGAAGUAAAAUACAUCUAUCGCUGUGGAAUAGAACAAGUUCUUUUUGUCAAUAUAAAAUCGUUUUUACUAGUUGACCUCGAAUCAAGUCGGAUUACCCGCUGAACUUAA